rnacentral:lncRNA from 1 species
UUUUAGGAAGAAUUUUGUUUUCUUUUUAAAUCAGAAAGAGAGACCCUCUUCCAAUAUUUGAAACUCAAGUUUUUAUGGACUCCAGCACCUUGCAACUGUCACCGCCCCCAAACCCCACCCCUCUUCUGGUCUAAUAGCUUCAAUUUAUUUCUCUCUACUGGAUUAUGUCUUUUUUAAAAAUCACAUUUCCUUUAAGCCUGCCUCCCUUUUUAAAAAUAGACAAUAUAACUGUUUAUUAAAAUAAAGGAAGAGAAAGAAAAUAACCUGAAAAGGAAACUCAUAAAAGAAAUUAAAAUGGUUGAUAAACAUAUGUAACAAAAAAAAUUUGAUAACAGAAUGAAAUUAAUUCAAGAGAAAGAUACAUUUUUAACCUCUUCAGAGAACAAAGAUUUGAAAUGUUUAUUAUAUAUGAGGUGAAGGUACUGUCAAAAUUCACUGUUGGGCAUAUAUAUCAUUACAAUCU